UACGUAGGGUGCGAGCGUUGUCCGGAAUUAUUGGGCGUAAAGAGCUCGUAGGCGGUGUGUCACGUCGGCCGUGAAAACCUGGGGGCUUAACUCUGGGCGUGCGGUCGAUACGGGGCAUCACUAGAGUUCGGCAGGGGAGACUGGAAUUCCUGGUGUAGCGGUGAAAUGCGCAGAUAUCAGGAGGAACACCGGUGGCGAAGGCGGGGUCUCUGGGCCGAUACUGACGCUGGAGGAGCGAAAGCCAUGGGUAGCGAACAGG
rnacentral:rRNA from 1 species